CGGUUACUGGUUAACUCACUCUAACCACUAGGCUACUUGCAGCAUUAUCUUGUAGUGUUUGUGCUAGAGUGGGAGAGACUUCUGUGGAUUAACAUGGGAAAGCCCAGUGAAUAUAAAUAUAACCAUUUUAUUCACAUGCGCAAUCUUAGUGAACUCAGAGACUGACAUUGGUUUACAUCGACAGAUACAAACCAUUGACUUUUGGUGCUAAAUUGACAUUGAGGACAUUGAGUUGGAUUCAGGAAACCAUUUCCUUUUGGUACUCUACUCUCCCCUGUCUGUAGGUGUGUGUUUGGAGCUGUGGUUCUGUCUGGGGGUGGUAGAGGUACCUAAGGCUGUGGGACCUGUCCUCCUGGGUCAACGAUCAGACCCUCACCUACAACGUCCACAAGGUGAGGAGGGACAACACAGAGGAGGUCCUCCCCAUGAGGAAACACCAACAGGUCUCUGUCUCCCUCUGGUGACGGCUACGAGGUGUGCAGAUCCCUACGGCUCUGCACGGUGCGGGUCUGGAACCUGGCCAGGUCAAGUUUCACAGGGUGGCCAGUCAGAGUGAAUUACGGUCUCCAUGGCAACACCGAGGUGGCCUUGGCCCAUGACAUGAAGCUGUACAUCCUGACAGACAGAGGGACAGCCAUCUUCACUGACACCCCCUCACCCAUAUUCCAGACUCUGCUGGUCUAUGUCCUGUUCAAGAGAAGCUAGCUGAAGAGACAGUCUGGUCUUUACAUCGCCCCCUGUCCCCGACACAAAUAAAGGCUCCUGGUCGGACAGCUACUCCUGGGCUUGUCUGAGACAAGGGACCAUCUGGUAGUGUGGGACCUAGAGUCUGGGUAUAUCAAAGGGAGGAGACAGGCAGUCCCGGAUACUACUAUCAUUAAGUAGACCACAGCUCAGGUGAGGACAGAGAGCCACUCUGCUAAGAAGAGGAGGACGAAAAGGGAGGCGCAAAGGGAGCAGAGCAGGUUGGACAGGGAGACAUGUCUCUCCAUCCCUCUGAUCUC